AAUAUUGGUCAAUGGAGGCAACUCUGAACCAGCCAAGUCGCGUGAAGGAUGACUGCCCUACGGGUUGUAAACUUCUUUUUUAAGGGAAUAAAGUUAGCCACGUGUGGCUUUUUGCAUUUACCUUACGAAUAAGGAUCGGCUAACUCCGUGCCAGCAGCCGCGGUAAUACGGAGGAUCCGAGCGUUAUCCGGAUUUAUUGGGUUUAAAGGGUGCGCAGGCAGAAUAUUAAGUCGGCGGUGAAAGUUUGCAGCUUAACUGUAAAAUUGACGUUGAUACUGGUAUUCUUGAGUGUAUAUGAAGUAGGCGGAAUUUGUAGUGUAGCGGUGAAAUGAAUAGAUAUUACAUGGAAUACCGAUUGCGAAGGCAGGUUACUACUAAUGUAUUGACGCUGAUGGACGAAAGCGUGGGUAGCGAACA
rnacentral:rRNA from 1 species